UACGGAGGGGGCUAGCGUUGUUCGGAAUUACUGGGCGUAAAGCGCACGUAGGCGGCUUUGUAAGUUAGAGGUGAAAGCCCAGGGCUUAACCCUGGAAUUGCCUUUAAGACUGCAUCGCUAGAAUCGUGGAGAGGUGAGUGGAAUUCCGAGUGUAGAGGUGAAAUUCGUAGAUAUUCGGAAGAACACCAGUGGCGAAGGCGACUCACUGGACACGGUAUUGA
rnacentral:rRNA from 1 species